UACGUAGGGACCGAGCGUUGUCCGGAUUCAUUGGGCGUAAAGAGCUCGUAGGCGGCUGCUCAAGUCGAAUGUGAAACCUCGAGGCUUAACCUCGAGAUGUCAUCGGAAACCAUCUGGCUAGAGUCCGGAAGAGGAGAGUGGAAUUCCUGGUGUAGCGGUGAAAUGCGCAGAUAUCAGGAAGAACACCCGUGGCGAAGGCGGUUCUCUGGGACGGUACUGACGCUGAGACGCGAAAGCGUGGGGAGCGAACAGG
rnacentral:rRNA from 1 species